rnacentral:rRNA from 1 species
CAGCAGCCGCGGGAAUACCGAGGGUGCGAGCGUUAAUCGGAUUUACUGGGCGUAAAGCGUGCGUAGGCGGCUUCUUAAGUCGGAUGUGAAAUCCCUGAGCUUAACUUAGGAAUUGCAUUAGAUACUGGGAAGCUAGAGUAUGGGAGAGGAUGGUAGAAUUCCAGGUGUAGCGGUGAAAUGCGUAGAGAUCUGGAGGAAUACCGAUGGCGAAGGCAGCCAUCUGGCCUAAUACUGACGCUGAGGUACGAAAGCAUGGGGAGCAAACAGGAUUAGAUACCCGUGUAGUCCCUGUCUCUUAUAA